rnacentral:rRNA from 1 species
GAUGAACGCUGGCGGCGUGCCUAAUACAUGCAAGUCGAGCGAAUGGAUUAAGAGCUUGCUCUUAUGAAGUUAGCGGCGGACGGGUGAGUAACACGUGGGUAACCUGCCCAUAAGACUGGGAUAACUCCGGGAAACCGGGGCUAAUACCGGAUAACAUUUUGAACCGCAUGGUUCGAAAUUGAAAGGCGGCUUCGGCUGUCACUUAUGGAUGGACCCGCGUCGCAUUAGCUAGUUGGUGAGGUAACGGCUCACCAAGGCAACGAUGCGUAGCUGAACUGAGAGGGUGAUCGGCCACACUGGGACUGGGAGACGGACCAGACUCCGACGGGAGGCAGCAGGAGGGAAUCUUCCGAAAUGGACGAAAGUCUGACUGGGCAACGCCGCGUGAGUGAUGAAGGCUUUCGGGUCGUAAAACUCUGUUGUUAGGGAAGAACAAGUGCUAGUUGAAUAAGCUGGCACCUUGACGGUACCUAACCAGAAAGCCACGGCUAACUACGUGCCAGCCGCCGCGGUAA